rnacentral:rRNA from 1 species
ACACAUGCAAGUCGAACGAUGAACCGGCUUCGGCCGGGGAUUAGUGGCGAACGGGUGAGUAACACGUGGGCAAUCUGCCCUGCACUCUGGGACAAGCCCUGGAAACGGGGUCUAAUACCGGAUACUGAUUACCUUGGGCAUCCUUGGUGAUCGAAAGCUCCGGCGGUGCAGGAUGAGCCCGCGGCCUAUCAGCUUGUUGGUGAGGUAACGGCUCACCAAGGCGACGACGGGUAGCCGGCCUGAGAGGGCGACCGGCCACACUGGGACUGAGACACGGCCCAGACUCCUACGGGAGGCAGCAGUGGGGAAUAUUGCACAAUGGGCGAAAGCCUGAUGCAGCGACGCCGCGUGAGGGAUGACGGCCUUCGGGUUGUAAACCUC